rnacentral:rRNA from 1 species
AGAGUUUGAUCCUGGCUCAGAUUGAACGCUGGCGGCAGGCCUAACACAUGCAAGUCGAGCGGAUGAAAGGAGCUUGCUCCUGGAUUCAGCGGCGGACGGGUGAGUAAUGCCUAGGAAUCUGCCUGGUAGUGGGGGACAACGUUUCGAAAGGAACGCUAAUACCGCAUACGUCCUACGGGAGAAAGCAGGGGACCUUCGGGCCUUGCGCUAUCAGAUGAGCCUAGGUCGGAUUAGCUAGUUGGUGAGGUAAUGGCUCACCAAGGCGACGAUCCGUAGCUGGUCUGAGAGGAUGACCAGCCACACUGGAACUGAGACACGGUCCAGACUCCUACGGGAGGCAGCAGUGGGGAAUAUUGGACAAUGGGCGAAAGCCUGAUCCAGCCAUGCCGCGUGUGUGAAGAAGGUCUUCGGAUUGUAAAGCACUUUAAGUUGGGAGGAAGGGUUGUAGAUUAAUACUCUGCAAUUUUGACGUUACCGACAGAAUAAGCACCGGCUAACUCUGUGCCAGCAGCCGCGGUAAU